rnacentral:rRNA from 1 species
UACGUAGGGCGCGAGCGUUGUCCGGAAUUAUUGGGGCGUAAAGAGCUCGUAGGCGGCUUGUUGCGUCUGCUGUGAAAUCCCGGGGCUUAACCCCGGGCGUGCAGUGGAUACGGGGCAGGCUGGAGGCAGGCAGGGGAGAAUGGAAUUCCCGGUGUAGCGGUGAAAUGCGCAGAUAUCGGGAGGAACACCGGUGGCGAAGGCG